UCGGUAAAUUAAAAUUUUAUCCAAUAUAUUUGUUUGUUCUGUUGGAAUUAACGGUCUUAAUGUUGUGAUGCUCAGAAGCUAACCAUCCAUACACGCACAUCACAAUAGAACAGCCAUAUAUGGUAGGCUUACGCUGGCGAUGGGCAAUGGUUUCCUUCUUUUUAUUAGAAACCCCGGUCCUCGCGCGCCUAUCAUUUCAAGUUCUGAUUUUAGAGGGAAGAGAUUUGGUAUUCCAAUCCUUAGAUGAGUGUUUUAGUGAGAGAGAGGGUAGCCGGCUUAAUUAAUUUACCUUGAGAUCCGAGAGAACUCUGCUUCUUUCGAUCCCUAGCUUUUCCUCUCCAACCUCAUACAGUGCCCCAUACCUCCAUGAUGUCAAUUGCAAGGUCUUCCGCUUGCCGAUAGUGAGAACUCCACUCUUCCACAGCUUUUCCUCUCCGACUUCACACAGCCCACAACUGCUCCUCCUCGUCAAUCAGGAACCCUUUUGCUCGCUGAUCAACGCUUCCGCUCCGGGAUCAGGGGAGUAUCGUCAAUCGCUAGAUCAUAAAUUUGGAACCCAAGCUGCUGCCCCCAUGUACCUCCUGCAGCAUGAUUACCUCCUCACCAUGCUUCUGCCUCCAAAUCUAACCAAAAGCUUGUUCAUUGCAGAGAAUUGCUUCAAGCGAGACAGAACUGCAGAAUCCAGAGGCUUAUCGAGAGCAACACCAUCAACCUGAACCCAAGGAUGGCCUGCAAGAAAGAUGACAGUUUGAAUGAUCUUAGAUCAUAAACUCUGUGACAUGAAUCUAAGCUGAGCAAUCAUAUUUUUCCUCAGAGAGAUAAAAUUCACUUUUA